CAGAGUCGCCGACACCCAUCCCCCGCAGCUUCUCACCCAAUAGCAGAGGCUGGACAGUGUUGAAGGCACUCGAGAAAUCAAAAAAUGUGAUUCUCACCGUGUCUCCUCCACCAUCCAGGUGCGUAUGGGCUCGUUGCAGCAGGAAGAUGACAGCAUCAUCAACUCCUAAGUGCGGCUGGUAGGCAAAUUGUAGAGGGUCCAAAAACGUCAUCACCCUAGGCCUCAGCUUGGCAAGGAUCAGUCUCUCCAUAACCUUCAUCACAUGAGAUGUGAGAGCAACAGGUCUGUAGUUCUUUUUGCUGCUUUCCCCCUCUUUUACCACCAGAGGGUGCCAAGAAGCUGUUCCUUCCUGAGAGCAAUGUCGGUGGUUCCUGGAUUUCUGCACACCUGCAGUUAAUCAGAUCAUCUGGAGGAGUAUAUGAGGAGGGAGCUGCCAACACUUCAGCUCUAGAGUGUUAGCCAGUAUUUGGUUAUUCCUCGUGACACUGUGGAUGUUACCCACUGGUUGCCUGAGCUCCUGGCUUCCUCCAAGCAUUCCUCUCCUCGUGACACUGUGGAAAUUACCCACUGGCUGCCUGAGUUCCACUGACACCUCCACAGUUAACCAAACCUCCUUGGAUUACCCUGUUGGCAGUCCCACUCGCUCCUCGCCUCCUGUGACCCAAAGCUUAUCUGUCCGCCCUCCGCCGCAGCCUCGUCGGUCAAGCAGCAACCCUCCACCUGAACCAAACCUCGGUAACCAGUGAUUCUUCCCCCCAGACAAGACCUACCUCCACCCAAUGCUCCGGUAAUCCAGAUUGCAGACUUUCCCCAGAACCUUAUUGUUGAUUAUUAUUUUAUGUUUACAAUAAACUUAUUUGACUGA